rnacentral:rRNA from 1 species
GAUAGGUUAAGUUAAUAAGGGCGCAUGGUGGAUGCCUUGGCACUAGAAGGCGAUGAAGGACGUGACUAACUACGAUAUGCCUCGGUUAGCUGUAAGUAAGCUUACCCGGGGGUUUCCGAAUGGGGCAACCCGAUCUUAAUGAUCAUCAUCUUUUUGAAUUCAUAGAUUAGAUGAAGCAAACGCUGUGAACUGAAACAUCUAAGUAGCAGUAGGAAAGUAAAGAAAUUUCGAUUCCGUCAGUAGCGGCGAGCGAACGCGGAAGAGCCCAAACCUGGAUGCUUGCAUCCAGGGGUUGUAGGACUGAUGUUGAGUUACAAAGGUAUAAGAUAGCAGAAACAGUUGGGAAGCUGUUCCAAAGAGGGUGACAGGCCCGUAUGCGAAAUCUUGUACUCUCUAAUCAGGAUCCUGAGUACGGCCCAGCACGUGAAAUUGGGUCGGAAUCUGGGAGGACCAUCUCCCAAGGCUAAAUACUAACUAGUGACCGAUAGCGAACAAGUACCGUGAGGGAAAGGUGAAAAGAACCCCGGAAGGGGAGUGAAAUAGUUCUUGAAACCGUGUGCUUACAAGAAGUUCGAGGCCGUUAAUGGCUGAGAGCGUGCUUUUUGUAGAAUGAACCGGAGAGUUACGAUUGCGUGCAAGGUUAAGGUGCAAAGACUGGAGCCGUAGCGAAAGCGAGUCUUAAUAGGGCGAAUCAGUACGUAGUUGUAGACCCGAAACCGAGUGACCUAUCCAUGGUCAGGUUGAAGGUGGGGUAAUACCUACUGGAGGACCGAACAAGUGGGUGUUAAAAAAC